CCCUUAGAUGUUCUGGGUUGCACGCGUGUUACAAUCGGGAGUACAACAAGAUUGCAAAUCCUAGUGGAUGAGUGGUUCUUCGAAAUUUUCUGAAGACUGGGAUAGUUGAUUGAAAUUAUUCAACUCAAACGAGGAAUUCCUUGUAAUUGUAAUUCAUUAUAUUGUAAUGAAUACGUCCCUGCCCUUUGUACACACCGCCCGUCGCUCCUACCGAUUGAACGAUCCGGUGAAUUAUUUGGAGUAGCUCUGGAAGUUGCAGAACUUCCUAUGUCACGAAAUUUUGUAAACCUUAUCGUUUAGAGGAAGGAAAAGUCGUAACA
rnacentral:rRNA from 1 species